CUGUGCCACGCACGUUUACUGCAAAGAGUUUGUCGCACAAGUCCAGGUCGAAGUCAAGAACAUUUUGCUCACCAAAGCUUGCAAUGCCGGCAUUGCAGAAUAUUACGUCAAGGUGACCAAAAAGUUGAACAGUGGAUUCCACAAGGGAUUUGACUUGGUUUUCAUCAGCUACAUCACAGUGGAUGUAAGUGGAUCUGUUAGUUCCGAUGGAUUCUGCAAGCUUUUGGCCUUUUUCAUCUUGAAUAUCUGCGAUCACGACAGCUCGUGCGCCAUUUUCAGCUAAGGCAAGCACGGUGGCCUCGCCUAUGCCACUGGCACCUCCCGUGACGAUAGCAACCUUGUCUUGAACCUUGUUCUUGCAAGGUUUUGUAGAUGCCAUUUUAGCUAGUUUGUUUUUGAGUUUUGCAAUGAAUUACACGAAAGAUUCCGAAUUUAGUAUGUUUAUAUCAAGAGAGUUACUCUAGAUACUUUGACUCCUAGUUAGCAUUGGGACCAUCAGAUCUGCAUCGAGAUAUGUGUUAAAAAGUGUUUUUUUAGUAAGAUAAUAAUUGUUUUUUAAAAUAUUUUUUAUUUUAAUAUUAGAACACCAAAAUAAUUAUAGAAAGUAAACGCCCGACAUUAUCUUAAAACUGUUUUUUGUUAUACCACUUGUAUUUUUAAAACUGUUUUUUUAUUUUUUAAAAAAAUUAAUUUCAAAAAAAAAUUUCAAUUUUUUUUAAAAAAUGUUGAAAGUCGUACUAGGCUGUUAAAUUACAGAAAGUAGAUGCAUGCAUGGCCGGCAUUAUCUUAAAAUUGUUUGUUCUUAUGCCACUUGUCUUUUUCUUUGACGUCCAUUCAUUUUCUUUUUUAUGUUAUGUUGGUCUUUAUGAUUAAUUAUGACCGUGAGAUGGUAUGACUGUGAUGUCAACAAUUUUAUAGGUGAUGGUGGUAGAUAUUAUAAUUGGAUGGUAUCAGAAGAGUGACGAGUUAGAAAUUAAUCGAUGAUAUUAUAAGUUAAUUUUUCCAUAAAUUAUUAGAAAAUCUAAAUGAGUUGAGAUAUUUCUUAAUAAAAUAAUUGAAAUUCCACACAAUUAUAAUGUAUUUUGUGUUCAUCAGGUUUUUUUUGUAAUUAAUUCUUUUGGAAAUUGAAUAUUUAAUUUAUAUAUUUUUUAUCCAUGUAUAACUCGAUCAUUUUCAUCCAUUUUAUAUUAUUUUCCAAUUUGUUUUGUUUUCUUCUUUUAAGAAAUAAAACAGGGGAAAAUAAGUAGAUGAUACCAAAAAAAAUGAUAAUAAAAGAGAGCAUUUCUUUGAAACAAAAUACUACUAAAUUAAUAAGCAUGGUCAGGGACUAUUUAAUUAGUUUUGAUAUUACAUGUGUCAAUUAAUGUUUUUUAAUAAAUUAUGAGGAUUAAGUUGUAAUUAGCUCAAGAAAAAAGGAGAAACAAAAACAGCAACAAAGCAUCAGUGCCGUAAUAUAUACUUGGCUUUCAACACAAAUUUUUCAAAAAAAUAUAUAAUUUGAAAAUAUAUGGGGACUAUAAUUAAUUUUCUGGAGAGCCUGUCUUUUGCACAGUAUUCACUCCUAUAAACACUGACUGACUAUAAUGUGUUGAAAAUAUUUUUAGUUUCAUCAUGAUAUUAAAGUUAUUUUAUCUUUAUUAUUUAUAAUUUUUUAUUUUAAGAUGUAUUAAAAUUUUCUAUAAUUUAUUUUCAAACAAUACCAAACACAUAUUUUAGUAAUGGUUUAUUUUUGUGAUAUUUUUUAUUUUUUAAACAUAUUCAAUUAAAAAAUAUUAUGUUCAGUGUAUGAAGAAACAUACACAUGGACAGCACAUUGCAAUCUUAUAAUAUUACCACAUACUAACCAUCACCAACCAUGACCACAUGGGUCGGUAUCCGUGUCUGAUAACUCUGAUCUCUUCUUUGCUGGAAACCAUGGCUGCUAAAGCUAUGGUUACAAGUUGUAGGUUGUUACUUUCGUUCUGUUUCGUUUGGAAUGGUUGAAACAUUUCGUAUUAAUUUAAAAAACAGAACAAAACGGAAUAAUUUUUAUCUUAUUUUAAAUCUCGGUUCGUUCCAGAUUUUUCAGCUAAAUUUCAGCUGGAAUGUUCCGGUUCCAUUCCACAUGUUUCGUUCCGCUCUUGAAAAGCCAUUGAAUCAAAUUGAACCUUGUUCAAUUUAAUUAAUUAAAUCACCCAAGUAUAAAAAUCUCUUUUUCAUUACUAUUUUCAAUAACAAUGAUAUUAAUAAUAAUAUUGAAAAUUAUUAUUACUAUUUUCAUUAACAAUGAUAUUAAUUUUUUAAAAUUAGAUUUAUCACUAAUAUAUAUGGUUUAUAUUCAUGUUGUUUUUUUCAUGUUUAUACUUUGUAGGAAUCUGAACAAAACAAGGGAUGCUUUAGAUUUCACUAGCCCUGAUAACAUUGACCUAACUUUAUAUUUAAAAUAUUUGUGUUAAAACAUUUUACUUUCAUAAUAUUUUGAUAUUUUGUUUAAGUUGAAUUACUUUAAGUUAAAAAUCUAUUUAAUCUUGACUAUUUGAAAAUAUUUUAAAUUUUGAAAUUAUAUAUGUUUGGCAUUGUGUUUGUAUUGCAUAAUUUAUAAUUAAUUUAUCUUGAAUUUGAAUUAUGUUUGUUGAAUAUAUAUAUAUAUAUAUAUAUAUAUAUAUAUAUAAACAGAAACGGCACAUCAAAAUAGUUUUAAAACUGAAAUAAUUUAUUUCAAUUAAAAAAACAAAAUAAAUUGAGAAUCUUCAACUUACAAGACAUCUUUCAUGAACAUAAAACCAUGACUUACAAACAAGCUCAUCUGCAGUCAUCAUCAUUAUCAAAAGUCAAAACCCAAAUAAAAAACCACUAGAUCCUUUACGUUUUAAAAGUAUUUAAAAAAAAAUUAAUUUUAUUUUAUUUUUUUAUUUUGAAUUAAUAUUAUUUUAGUAUUUUUAGAUUAUUUUAAUAUAUUAAUAUUAAAAAUAAUUUUUAAAAAAUAAAUAAAAUAUUAUUUUAAUAUAUUUUUUGAAAAAAAAAAAACGCUGCAUAUCAUCCAUGCUCUCACUUCUCUUUCUUUCCACCCUCUAAAUUAACUUUACAUGGGCCAAUCAACCGCCAAACCAACCUGAAAAGGCGGGAAUUGUUUCUCUCUUUCUUGGUCCCUGAAAAGAAACUGGAUCAUCAUCUUAGUACUAGAUCAUUAACUGACUACAGUGUGUUGAAAAUAUUUUUAGUUCCAUCGUGAUUUUAAAGUUAUUUUAUCUUUAUUAUUUAUAAUCUUUUAUUUUAAGAUAUAUUAAAAAUUUCUAUCUGAAAAUAACUAUAAUUUUUUGUUUUUUACCCAACAAUGUCGAACACAUAUUUUAGUAAGGGUUUAUUUUUGUGAUAUCUUCUAUUUUAUAUUUAAUUAAAAAAAUAUUAUACACUGCAACACUGUUCAUUUACUUCAGUAUAUGAAGAAACAUACACGUAGACAGCACAUUGCAAUCUUAUAAUAUUGCCACACACGACCCAUCACCAACCAUGACCACAUGUAUGUUGGUAUCCAUGUCUGAUCUCUUCUUCGCUGGAAACCAUGGCCGCUAAAGCUAUGGUUCCAACACAUCUUUUAUAUACAAAUUGUUAAAGCAAUCUAAAUUAACAAAAAAAAUAAAAUACAAAUAUAAAAGAGAAAGAGGCUAGGAUUUUCAUUAAUCAUCAUAUUUUAAAGUAUAGUUUUAACCUAAAUACAAAGAGACUAUAUAUAGGCUAAACUGAAAAUAUUAUUCUACCAUUAAUAAAUAAAACAAGAUAAAUAUAUAUAUUUCUUAAUAUCUCCCCUCAAACUCAUGAUGCGGCAGCUACAAGUAUCGAGAGUUUGCCAACUAGAAAGUGAAAACGAGAAAUGAAAUGUGACUCGGUAAAGAAGUCCGUAAUCUGCAAAGAAAAAGAAACAAAAGGUAGAGUAAUGGUGUCAUGCUUGAGAUGAUGACGAGUAAAAUGACAAUCGAUCUCAAUGUGCUUAAUUCGUUCAUGAAAAACCGAGUUGUAAGCAAUCUGAAUAGAAUUCUGGUUGUCACAAUACAUAGGAGUAGGAUGAGAAAGAGAAACUCUCAUAUCAGCAAGUAACCAAUGUAACCAAACAAUCUCUUUUGUAGUAGAUGUCAUAGCAUGAUAUUCUGUUUCGGCUGAAGAAUGAGAAACAAUAGAUUGUUUCUUGCUCUUUCAAGAAAUAAGAAAAUCACCUAGAAAGAUAUAAAAACCAGUAACAGAUUUGCGAUCUGUGGGAUCACUGUCAUGAUCAGCAUCAGAGUAUGCACGAGCUAUAAGAAAGAGGUGGAUAAGAGUAAAAGACUUUGAAAGAUCGUACCACGAAGAUAUUAUAAAAUACGAAGAACAGUUGUCCAGUGAACUGUAGUAGGAGAUGCAACAAACUGACUAACAACAUAAACAACAUAUGCAUUAUGUGGACGAGUAAUAGUGAGAUAUACCAAGCUCUUAACAAUAGUACGGUAUAAGGUAGGAUCUGUCAAUGGUAGACCAUCAGAAAAAGAAUACCUUACGUUAAUUUCAAUGGGAGUAUCUAUAGUCUUGUUAUCAGUAAGUCUAGCCUGCUGAAGAAUAUCUACAACAUAUUUUGGCUGAGAAAGAAGGUAACCUCUAGGCUAAGGUUGACUCAUGUUUUUUUUUGGUUUUUUUUUUAAGUUUUUUUUUAUUUAUUUCAUCUUUCAACACUUGGUUGGUCUAGGAAUUGAGCUUCAUGUUUUUUUUUUCCUUUUACCAGGUUAUCUUGUUCACAUGAUCCAGCUCGUGGGGUUUCGCAGACUUGCCUGGGUUUGUUGGUGUUGUUUUUUCCUUUAUGUUAAUUGAUUUUUUUUCCCGGUUUCAUCCUUUUACAUUUGGAUUGUUAAGGAUUGGGCAUUGUAAUUUUUUUUUUUUUUGCUUUAUAAGGAGUUGUCUCAACCUCACAACUUGUGUCGUGGGUUUGACAUGUUAACUCAAAUUGUUUUUUUUCUUGUUUUUGUUUUUUAAUUUUAUCAUUUAGUAUUGAGUUGUAUGAGAAUUGAAUUUCGUGAAUUUUUUCUUUUACCAAGUGUUCCUUUUGUACUAGUCUUUAUGAUCACUUUGUUUUAUAAAAAUAAUAAUUCAUUUAUUAUCGUUACUUUUUCUUCUUCUUUUUAUUAUACAAUUAAAUAAAUAAAAAACGUAUUGAAACUAGUGGAGUUUAUGCCUUGAAUCAUGGUUUUUUUACUUCUUUUUGUUCACCUAUCAUUUUUCAGAAUUUUCCUUUAUUUUAUAGCUUAUUGCUUUCAUAAAAUGUAGACAAAUGCCUCCGAACCUUGAAUUUUCUCAUUUUUUUAAUCGGAUUUGUCGUAUAAAAUAGAUCUAUCUUAUCAUACAAAUUCCAAUUGGCGCUUGUAUGGUGUGGAAGGAUUGAGAAUCGAAGGCAAACGCUACACACAUAGAUAGAUAUCUGGUCAAGGAUAUACCGGAUCUUAUAAACUCUAGUUUUUAAACAUUUUUUGUUUGUGAAAUUAUUAGAUGAAUCUAAUUUACUAUUUAAAAAAAAUACAUAGAGUAUCUUGUAGUUUAGUAAUUUUUUAACUCUGUCUUAGUUCUUUUAGAGAUUAUAAUUUACAUUUUUUAUCAAAAUAAUUUUUCAAUUUGAAUAAAAAAAUCAAAUUACACUCGUAUUAGAAGUAGUUUCUUUAUCAUAUUACCGCUCCUCUAGCUAGAUCGGUCUGCAAUUUCUAUUAAUCUUCUUUGUUUUCUUUAUGUUUAGCUUGCUCAAACCCUAAGAAAAAUACAUGUGAAAUAAAAAUCGAUAGCCCCCCAACUUGCUUUUUGAGAGUUUUUUCUCUUACCUUUUGUCAGAUUCAAAUAAAUAACCCAGUUUUUAUAGAUCAUAGAGUCAAGAUUUGUGGCUGUUUCGCCUGUUGUGUUGUUGAUGAAGGAAAUAAAGUGAAUUGCAUGAGUUCUUGAAAGGAGAUUAUAAUGAAUGUAAGUGUCAAAUUUAUGGUGUGCCUCUUUUCAAAGGUGAUCUGCGUAUUUUUACUGAACCAAAGCGAUUCAAUCGAUCAUGGAAAACAACAUUGUAUUCAAGAAAAUUGAAUUUUUAAAAAAGUAGACCUCAAAACACAGUUGUUUUGCACGUCUUCCAGCGAUUGAAAGUGUUGUUUUCCCAUCAGGAUGAGCAAUAAUGCAUAUCUUCCAAUAAUUGAGAGUGUUGAUCAUGAUGCUUUAGUUGAUUUGAGAAAUCAUAAUUUUUAGUUUGAUUUGAAAAAAAUCAAAUUUAAAUUGAUGGUAUUGCUAAAUUAAAUCCUUAAAUAAUAAGUCAUUGAAAGAAUUAUUUGGAAGAUCAGGUGGAUCACUUAAUAGUAAAUAAAUUUCUCAACAAAUAAUUAAGCAUGUGCAAAAUCAUUAUUAAUUAAGAACUAAAUCCGACACCAUCCUUCCCCGGAUCAUUUUAUUUGGGAAUACCUUGAAAAUUAAACCCACCAUCGACGAUCAAAUUCUGGCCAGUCACAAACUCAGAAUCGUCAGAAGCGAGAAACAGCACUGCGUCAGCUACGUGCUUCGUUUUCAACACACCUUUCAAGCAAUAAGACGACUGAAAAGCCUUCUCCACCUCCUCUACUCCCUUUUCGAAUGUCUUGCAUGCUAGAGGUGUUGCCACGGGUCCUGGCGACACACAGUUGACUCUUAUACCAUGCUCACCCAACUGAUAACUUGCACAUUUCAUCAGUGCCAAAACCCCGCUCUUGGACAUGAUAUAAUCUGUGAACCUGACCCCUGCGAGAUUCGCAGCGGCGCUUGAUGUGCAAAUGACGCUGCCCUUUACACCUCCGUCCACCAUGGCACGCGCCGCGUGCUUUAGGCAUGCUGCUGUGCCACGCACGUUUACUGCAAAGAGUUUGUCGCACGAGUCCAGGUCGAAGUCAAGAACAUUUUGCUUACCAAAGCUUCCAAUGCCGGCAUUGCAGAAUAUUACGUCAAGGUGACCAUAAAGUUGAACAGUGGACUCCACAAGGGAUUUGACUUGGUUUUCAUCAGCUACAUCACAGUGGAUGUAAGUGGAUCUGUUAGUUCCG
rnacentral:lncRNA from 1 species